rnacentral:rRNA from 1 species
UACGGAGGAUGCAAGCGUUAUCCGGAAUGAUUGGGCGUAAAGCGUCCGCAGGCGGCACUUCAAGUCUGCUGUUAAAUACUAGGGCUCAACCCUGGAGAGGCAGUGGAAACUGAAGAGCUAGAGUUCGGUAGGGGUAGAGGGAAUUCCCAGUGUAGCGGUGAAAUGCGUAGAGAUUGGGAAGAACACCGGUGGCGAAAGCGCUCUUCUGGGCCGAAACUGACACUCAUGGACGAAAGCUAGGGGAGCGAAUAGG